GAUGAACGCUGGCGGCGUGCCUAAUACAUGCAAGUCGAGCGAACAGACGAGGAGCUUGCUCCUCUGACGUUAGCGGCGGACGGGUGAGUAACACGUGGAUAACCUACCUAUAAGACUGGGAUAACUUCGGGAAACCGGAGCUAAUACCGGAUAACAUGUUGAACCGCAUGGUUCAACAGUGAAAGACGGUCUUGCUGUCACUUAUAGAUGGAUCCGCGCCGCAUUAGCUAGUUGGUAAGGUAACGGCUUACCAAGGCAACGAUGCGUAGCCGACCUGAGAGGGUGAUCGGCCACACUGGAACUGAGACACGGUCCAGACUCCUACGGGAGGCAGCAGUAGGGAAUCUUCCGCAAUGGGCGAAAGCCUGACGGAGCAACGCCGCGUGUGUGAUGAAGGUCUUCGGAUCGUAAAACUCUGUUAUUAGGGAAGAACAAAUGUGUAAGUAACUAUGCACGUCUUGACGGUACCUAAUCAGAAAGCCACGGCUAACUACGUG
rnacentral:rRNA from 1 species